GAGAGAUCAGCUUGCCCACAUCAGUGGCGAGGAGUGCAGAGAGUGGGUGAGGCUGGGGCAGGAAGCAGGCCAGCCUGCCAGAGCCCAGGAACAGGGUAAUGACUGCAGCAGGGAGAAAAGCGAGCCCAGCCCCUUUUAGAAUCAACCCUGCUGCUCCGAUUCUAAUUUUCAGUUCAGAUUUUGCAGGCAUGAGUGUGGGUCCCUGAGUACCUGCCCUUUGAAUUCUUUUGGGACCUGCUGAAGCUCACACCCGUGGACCACCCAGACUGCCUGCCGCUACAGG
rnacentral:lncRNA from 1 species